UACGUAGGGGGCAAGCGUUGUCCGGAAUCAUUGGGCGUAAAGAGCGUGUAGGCGGCCAGAAAAGUCCGCUGUGAAAACUCGAGGCUCAACUUCGAGCUGUCGGUGGAAACUUUCUGGCUAGGAGUCCGGAAGAGGAGAAUGGAAUUCCUGGUGUAGCGGUGAAAUGACGCAGAUAUCAGGAAGAACACCCGUGGCGAAGGCGGUUCUCUGGGACGGUACUGACGCUGGAGACGCGAAAGCGUGGGGAGCGAACAGG
rnacentral:rRNA from 1 species